rnacentral:tRNA from 1 species
CAAAAAUAGUUUAUUUAAAAAUUUUAAUUUUGGAGAUUAAAGAUGGUUUGUAGCAGAUUUUUUUGA